AAACUUAUUUGAAUCGUGUGGAAAAUAUUUUCAGAUGACCUGUAGACUUGUAUCUUCAAGAGCUCAUAGUACCCUAUUACCCCACUAGAACACUACGUUCUCUGAAUGCUGGGCUACUUGUGGUUCCUAUAGUCUCUAAAAGUAGAACAGGAGCCAGAGCCUUCAGUUACCAAGCUCCUCUCCUGUGGAACCAGCUUCCAGUUGUGGUUCGGGAGGCAGACACCCUCUCCACAUUCAAGAGUAGGCUUAAGACAUUCCUCUUUGAUAAAGCUUAUAGUUAGGGCUGGAUCAGGUGAGUCCUGAACCAUCCCUUAGUUAUGCUGCUAUAGGCCUAGACUAUCGGGGGAUUUCCCAUGGUGCACUGAGCUCAUCUCUUCCUCUCUCUUUCUGCACUCAUUCAUGUCCCAUUAAUGCAUGUUACUAACUUCACUUCUUCCCCGGAGUGUUAUUAUUAUUAUAAGUAUUAUUAUUGCUACGGUUACUUUUGUUGCUGUUGUCGCUGCUCAUUGUCCCCCAUCGUUGCUGUUGUCAUGUUCAUCAUCAUCAGUCACUACUAUUAGUGUAGUUGUUGUUACUGUUGUUGCUGUGCACCUGUCUGUCUGUCUGUCUGUCUCUCUCUCUCUCUCUCUCUCUCUCUCUCUCUCACCCCAACUGGUUGAGAUAGACGACCACCCACCUAGAGCCGAAGGAUCUGUCCUUGAACAAAAAUCCAUCACAAAUCUUAGUCUCGAGUCAUCAGUGUCUGAUUUUUUUUUUAACAAUUCUUCAACAUACUUACGAAUAUCGACUCCAAUGUAGAUAAAAUUGGAACAUACAUGAAUUUAACUUUCUGAAACUAUCUGAUCAUAUGCCCCAGUCUCUUUAUUUCGUCUUGUGUCAAAUCAGGAGCCUCUUACACAUUCAACUGGUUCUACAGUUUCCCACUUGCUGGUUUAAAAAAAAAAUAAAAAUAAAAAUUGGAUUGCUUGUAUUCUGAAUUAAUUGUGAAAGGAUUCUCCAACCCAUCAAAACAUGCUUCAACUUUCUUGCAUGUUUCACUUUCAUCACUAAAUACAUGCUUAACAACAGUUUCUUUAGCAUGCUGCUGGAUAUCUUGAACAAUCUCUUCCAUGGACAUCACAACAGAGUUUACUACACUUUGGCCUACACCUGCUGCCUUUAAAUCAGAAAUUACAGCUGCACAACUAUUUACAAGGUCUUCUGCAGAUAAUUCAAUUUUAUUUGUAUAGCGCCAAUUCAUAACAGAAGUUAUCUUAGGACACUUUUCAAAUAGAGUAGGUCUAGACCGAACUCUUUAAAACAUUUACAGAGACCCAACAGUA
rnacentral:lncRNA from 15 species